rnacentral:rRNA from 1 species
AUUGAACGCUGGCGGCAUGCCUUACACAUGCAAGUCGAACGGCAGCACGGGAGCAAUCCUGGUGGCGAGUGCGAACGGGUGAGUAAUAUAUCGGAACGUGCCCAGUCGUGGGGAUAACGUAGCGAAAGCUACGCUAAUACCGCAUACGAUCUAUGGAUGAAAGCGGGGGAUCGCAAGACCUCGCGCGAUUGGAGCGGCCGAUAUCAGAUUAGGUAGUUGGUGAGGUAAAGGCUCACCAAGCCGACGAUCUGUAGCUGGUCUGAGAGGACGACCAGCCACACUGGGACUGAGACACGGCCCAGACUCCUACGGGAGGCAGCAGUGGGGAAUUUUGGACAAUGGGCGC